rnacentral:rRNA from 1 species
GGAGGAAGAGCCCAGCACCGAAUCCUUCACCAUCUCGGUGACAGGAAAUGUGGUGUUUAGGCCGUACCUUGUCCCGACACGUCUCUCCUCAAGUCCACUUGAUUGUGGCCCCAGGCCCAGAGAGGGUGUAAGGCCCGUGGAGGCGAGACGUUCGGUACCUGGUGCGUCCUUAGAGUCGGGUUGUUUGGGAAUGCAGCCCUAAGCGGGUGGUAAACUCCAUCCAAGGCUAAAUACCAGCACGAGUCCGAUAGCGAAGAAGUACCGCGAGGGAAGGUUGAAAAGAACUUUGAAGAGAGAGUUCAAGAGUACGUGAAACCGCUGAGAGGCAAACUGGUGGAACUGAAAUGGUCCCGAGGAAUUCAGCCGUUGGUCGUUGCACAGUCUUUGGUGAUUGAUCUAACGACGGCGCCAUUGAAUGACGUUUCGAUCAUCGGUGCACUUUCCUCGCCUGGGCCCGACCACGACCGGUGAGCUGAUCUGUCUGUCGUGCUUGGAAGAUAGCGCCGUCUUCGGAAGGCGUGUUAUAGACAGGCAUACGGAGCAGUCGGCGCACUGGAUGAUAGUGCCUGCCCAUCUGGGCUCAUAUGGUGGUUGUUUUGUUGGCGAGUUCUGAUGUCACUACUUCGGUAGAGUCGUUAGACUCUGUUGGCAUUAUGGCUGUCCUCUAUGAUUGGCACUGUUAAGUCUGUGGUUGUGAAGUAGGUAGUCCACCUGACCCGUCUUGAAACACGGACCAAGGAGUCUAACAUGUGCGCGAGUCAUUGGGUUCACGAAACCUAAAGGCGCAGUGAAGGUAAAGAUCUGUUUUGGCAGAUUGAGGUGGGAUGCCGGGUUACGCGCCCGGCCGCACUACCGGCCCGUUCUAUAUGUCUUUCAUAGGAGCGGAGCAAGAGCGUACACGUUGGGACCCGAAAGAUGGUGAACUAUGCUUGCGCAGGUCGAAGCCAGA